rnacentral:rRNA from 1 species
AGCAGUAGCCACGGGAAUACGUAGGUGGCAAGCGUUGUUCGGAAUUAUUGGGCGUAAAGGGCUCGCAGGCGGUUUCUUAAGUCUGACGUGAAAGCCCCCGGCUCAACCGGGGAGGGUCAUUGGAAACCGGGAAACUUGAGUGCAGAAGAGGAGAGUGGAAUUCCACGUGUAGCGGUGAAAUGCGUAGAGAUGUGGAGGAACACAAGUGGCGUAGGCGACUCUCUGGUCUGUAACUGACGCUGAGGAGCGAAAGCGUGGGGAGCAAAUGGGAUUAGAUACCCCUGUAGUCCCUGUCUCUUAUAC